GCGCCUCUGGUGUACUGGUAUCAUGCAAGAUUCACAUUCUUGUGACUCGGGUUCGCUUCCCGGGCGGCGCA